rnacentral:misc_RNA from 1 species
CGCACAUUGCGCCCCUUGGUAUUCCAUUGGGCAUGCCUGUUCGAGCGUCAUCUACACCCUCGAGCCAAGCUCGGUGUUGGGCGACUGUCUGCGCUGCAGACUCGCCUCAAAUCCAUCAGCGGUGGCCUGGCUAGCGUCCCACGCAGCGCAUGCGUACAGGGCCAGCUCGCCCAGGCGCCACCGAGAACAUCAGGAUUUGACCUCGAAUCAGGUAGGGAUACCCGCUGAACUUAA